rnacentral:rRNA from 1 species
CAGUCGCCGCGGUAAUACGAAGGGGGCUAGCGUUGUUCGGAAUUACUGGGCGUAGAGGGCGCGUAGGCGGCCAUUCAAGUUAGAUGUGAAAGCCCUGGGCUCAACCUAGGAAUUGCAUUUGAUACUGUUUGGCUUGAGUUCGGGAGAGGUGAGUGGAAUUCCCAGUGUAGAGGUGAAAUUCGUAGAUAUUGGGAAGAACACCAGUGGCGAAGGCGGCUCACUGGACCGACACUGACGCUGAGGCGCGAAAGCGUGGGGAGCAAACAGGAUUAGAUACCCCAGUAGUCCCUGUCUCUUAUAC